rnacentral:other from 1 species
AGUUCCCUGCUUUGCUCGUGAUGGAUUUGGAGGCUCGCUUGAGCCAACAUUUCCGACAAGCGAAUCGCGAGGCCGCGCCGUGUGCAUGCCUCCGCCGUGAGGAAGCCUGACGCGCGGCCGACAAAAGCGGUUCCACCUGCUUCACGCAGGUUCAUGCGACCUCCCCACACGGCAAAGCGGGGCCUUU